ACUGCUCAGUAACACGUGGCUAAUCUGCCCUUGGGACGAGAACAACCCCGGGAAACUGGGGCUAACUCUCGAUAGGCGAAGAACUCUGGAAUGAGUCUUUACCUAAAUAGUGCAACGUUAUCCUCGUUGCAUCGCCCAAGGAUGAGGCCGCGACCGAUCAGGUUGUUGGCGAGGUAAUGGCUCACCAAGCCUUUUACCGGUGCGGGCCGUGGGAGCGGGAGCCCGGAGAUGGGCACUGAGACAAGGGCCCAGGCCCUACGGGGCGCAGCAGUCGCGAAAACUUUGCAAUAAGCGAAAGCUUGACAGGGCUAUCCCGAGUGCCAUCCGCUGAGGAAGGCUUUUACCCAGUCUAGAACGCUGGGGGAAUAAGGAGAGGGCAAGUCUGGUGUCAGCCGCCGCGGUAAUACCAGCUCUCCGAGUGGUGUGGAUGUUUAUUGGGCCUAAAGCAUCCGUAGCUGGCUAAGUUAGUCCCUUGUUAAAUCCACCGAAUUAAUCGUUGGAUUGCGGGGGAUACUGCUUGGCUAGGGGACGAGAGAGGCAGACGGUAUUUUCGGGGUAGGGGUGAAAUCCUAUAAUCCCGGGAAGACCACCAGUGGCGAAGGCUGUCUGCUAGAACGCGCCCGACGGUGAGGGAUGAAAGCUGGGGGAGCGAACCGGAUUAGAUACCCGGGUAGUCCCAGCUGUAAACGAUGCAGGCUAGGUGUUUGAACGGCCACGUGCCGUUCUAGUGCCGCAGGGAAGCUGUUAAGCCUGCCGCCUGGGGAGUACGAUCGCAAGAUUGAAACUUAAAGGAAUUGGCGGGGGAGCAC
rnacentral:rRNA from 1 species